GAGCGCUCAUAGCAAUAUGGGAGCGGCGAACGGCGUAGUAAGACGUAGGAACGUACCCUCGGGUCGGGGAUAGCUACGGGAAACUGUAGGUAAUACCCGAUAAUCUCUGCGGAGCAAAGGUGUGAUUCCGCCUGAGGAGCGGCUUACGCGAUAUUAGCUAGUUGGUGGGGUAAUGGCCUACCAAGGCGAUGAUGUCUAGGGGGUGUGAGAGCAUGGCCCCCACGACCGGAACUGAGAUACUGUCCGGACACCUACGGGUGGCUGCAGUCGAGAAUCU
rnacentral:rRNA from 1 species